UACGUAGGGUGCGAGCGUUGUCCGGAAUUACUGGGCGUAAAGAGCUUGUAGGCGGUUUGUCGCGUCUUCUGUGAAAACUUGGGGCUCAACCCCAAGCUUGCAGGGGAUACGGGCAGACUAGAGUACUUCAGGGGAGACUGGAAUUCCUGGUGUAGCGGUGAAAUGCGCAGAUAUCAGGAGGAACACCGGUGGCGAAGGCGGGUCUCUGGGCCGAUACUGACGCUGAGGAGCGAAAGCGUGGGGAGCAAACAGG
rnacentral:rRNA from 1 species